GGGGAAAAAAACAACAAUUACCAAACUGAAAAGAUUGUAUGUAGCUGUUGCACCAAGGAGCAGCUCUCAAGGAGUGAUAAUGGAGCAGAAGAAGCUCCGCGGUUCGCCUUGCUGGCUUUGACGAAAAUCAAGACGACAACAAUGCCCAAAUCCUUUUUCUAGUUUCUGAGCUGGAAAGAAAAGGAUAUCCAGUUUUCUAGAUGGUUUUCUUUUCCAGAUUCUCUGACAUCUGCUAAUGUGUCCUUACGCUUGUGCUGGGGAUGCACCAAAGGAAAGGCUAAGAGAUGUGAAUUUCCCAGUGGAGGGAUCUCCACCACUUCAUGAGCUCCUGUGACAGGCGAGUGUAGGAGCGUCCAUUCUUGAGGGCAAUGCCAGCCCUUGAAAUGCAAAAGCAUCCUCUUGAAAUGGAGUGUGAGACGAAUAAAGCAAGUGACUUUUCCACACCACGAAGAGAAGUGCUUUCUACCUCGCUGCUGCAGACGAUUAAGGAAAACAAUUGCGUUCUGACAACACGCAUUGACAUUUUAAAAUGAAAAAGAAAUGAAGAACAGAUUCUGGGAGGUUUGCCAUUAAUGAUAAUAGAUUUCCCUGAACGAAAGCCUUUUCAGAAGUCCGAUUCUGUUUUUCUUAUAACGGCAGCCACUCUGCAGGGGACAGCCAGUGCGUCAGAAGAGUUCAGGGGGUGACCUGGGGACUGAAGUGCAGUCUUUAAUUCCUCUUUGAAUACAGAAAAGCCAAAGGGAGCAGAGAUGUAAAGCUGAGAAUGUGCCUUGAAGAAACUCGCUCCUUCUAUGUCCCCUGUGCUGAAGGCUGAUUAGCUUUUGUUUCUUCCUCCAGCCUUAAUUGGGGGAACUGCUGUGUUCAUUUCCCUCCUGCCCUACUACACCGCUCCCCAGCAGUGUCACAUCAGCCAACGGCCAUGUGCCUCAGGAGGUGGCCUCACUCUGCUGUGGGGAAGCAGACAGCAUCCCCAGGGUCAGUUUUACAAUGUCAAGAAGAAUGGAAAAGCUGCAAGGCACGUACGCGUAAGAUGCUGUGCUCCUGGAAAGCUUUGGAUGGGUGCCAGGCAACAUUUGGUGGCAAAGAGAGAUGGUCUUGGAAAAAGGCAACCAGCCAAGCCCUUAUCCCACAACCUUACAGUUCCCGUGCAGUGGUAAUUCUGUUGGAGUGUGGAAGGAUGGCGAGCCUGCCUUCCUGCAGGCACACAUCUCGGUGAGUUCGACUGCACCAAGAACAGUUUCUUCCGUUCCACCCUUUUGCAUUUCCCUUAUGUGGUGAAAAAAAAGUCAUCCCAUGACCAGCAAGACUGAAAAAUCUGCUUUUUGCUUGUGGUUGGGCUCACUGUGCAGCUCCCAUGUGGUUUCUCUUGAGCUUAACUAGGGACAAACUAAUUGCUGGCUUUUCCUCUGACUCUGCUGUCAGAGGCCCCGCUGUCUGCUUUCAUCAGGGAGGAUGAAAUCUGUGAUACCCGGUGCUGUUUUCUGGGACCUCUUCCCUUCUUUUUGGGUGCAGUUAAAACAUGCUAGUAAGUUCAGAAAUGAUUGGUGUCAGAGGGAUGUUGUGACUCUGUGUACCCUCUAUCCAUGGGAUGUCAGGCUGGAAAAAGUGCCCAGAUGCAUCACAAAAUGCCCGUAAGCACUUGGCUCAAACAACACUUGCUGCAUACAGGUGCUCCAAAGGUGCUGUUGGGAUAAGGCAAGAGUUCAUCAUAGGAUCACAAAAUGACUGGGUUGGAAGUGUCCCUAGAGAUCAUAGAACUGUAGGAUGGCUGGAAGGGUCCUUAAAGAUCAUAUGACUAUAGAAUGGCUGGUUUAAAAGGGGCCUGAAAGAUCAUAGGACCACAGAAUGGUUGGUUUGGAAGGGUCUUCAAGGCCCAUCCAACCCCAACCCUUGCUGUGGGCUGAUUGCCCCCCAGCCAGAUCAGGC
ensembl:lncRNA